rnacentral:rRNA from 1 species
GAGUGUCAUCAUACUAGCUUUAAUGUAUCUGAUCUCAUCAAAACUCAAUAGUUAAGCAUACUUGAGCUAGAACCAAUAUUGAGAUGAGUGAACUCCCCAAAAGUCAUGUCACGGUGUUGC